rnacentral:rRNA from 1 species
CCAUGCCACUCUGAACACACCGGAUCUUGUCUGACCUCAGAAGCUAAGCAGGGUCAGACCUGGUUAGCUUGGAUGGGAG